AAGUCGUAACAAGGUUUCCGUAGGUGAACCUGCGGAAGGAUCAUUAUCGUACAAAAUGUGAGAGGGGCAUGCGAGGGCUGUCGCUGACUCAAAGUCGUGCACGCCCGAGUGUGUCGCCUCACAUAAUAAUCCAUCUCACCCUUUGUGCAUCACCGCGUGGGCACCCCUUUGGGAUCAUCUCGGAGGGGGCUCGCGUUUUCACACAAAACCCCCCUUUUAAAAGUGUAGAAUGACCUCAUUUAUGCGCUAACCCGCAAUCAAUACAACUUUCAACAACGGAUCUCUUGGCUCUC
rnacentral:misc_RNA from 1 species